rnacentral:rRNA from 1 species
CCUACGGGAGGCAGCAGUGAGGAAUAUUGGUCAAUGGGCGGAAGCCUGAACCAGCCAAGCCGCGUGAAGGAAGACGGUACUUAGUAUUGUAAACUUCUUUUGUCGGGGAACAAAGGCGGAGACGCGUCUCCGGAUGAGUGUACACGAAGAAAAAGCAUCGGCUAACUCCGUGCCAGCAGCCGCGGUAAUACGGAGGAUGCGAGCGUUAUCCGGAUUUAUUGGGUUUAAAGGGUGCGCAGGCGGGAGAUCAAGUCAGCGGUAAAAUGUCGGGGCUCAACUCGGGCCGGCCGUUGAAACUGGUUUUCUAGAGUGGAAGAGAGGUAGGCGGAAUGCGUGGUGUAGCGGUGAAAUGCAUAGAUAUCACGAAGAACACCGAUGGCGAAGGCAGCCUACCGGGUUCAUACUGACGCUGAGGCACGAAAGCGUGGGGAGCGAACAGGAUUAGAUACCCGAGUAGUC